AAACAGUUCCUUUUAGGCCGCGGAUAAGUCGUUACUAUUUAGUAGAAUUGUUUUACGACGUCUAUUUAAAAUUAUCAUGUGUGCGUUCUCUUUCUUCAGAUUUAAUUGCUAAAAUUAUACUUCAUUUCGAUUAAGUUUUGGAUGCGUUAAGUCUCCUUGUUUAAGUGUAGCGCGAGUCUGGGAUGCAUUACAAACGGAAACUUGUUUCCAGGGCCCCUCUGAGAAAAGGAAUGUGGGAGCAAGUUGGUGGAGACCAAUAGGAAUUCACUUGACUAAAUUCUCCAGAGCGUGCGAGAAGACACAAACACACACUUCGUUGCUGGAGCAUGCUGAUAAGGCUCGUCAGUCCUCUACAGUAUGGUGGUUAACUUCCCAGCCGCUUUUACAAUCGUACUCAACAAGAAAAACAACCCUUUUUUUCCCAAGAAACCCUUAGAUCAGAAACGACAGGAAAUAUGCCCGUAAAAAGUUACACCGUUCACAUCCCUAGGGUUUUUCCGCAUAUUUGAAUUUGCAUAUGGAUCCUUCCAGCUCAUUUGCAUUCUAUGGUUCCUCGUGGUCAAAGCAGUUUCACAUUUCCGCAAAAAACUUCAGUCAAAUCUGACGUCCAGCAUUUGCUUGAAGAUUUGGCUUGUACUCACAAUACACCACGAAGCUUUCACAAAAGAACACGCUGUGAGGAUACGCUUCCUAAUGUAGCUACGAAUGGGAGUGAAUAGAGAGGAAACGAAGGGGAAAAAAUUAUUGCAAGACUCGACGCAGGCAAGACAAGAUAAGGGAAUUGAAUGAGGAAUCUGUUUGGUAUUGUGCGAUCAUGACAAGAUAAGAUGGACAGCUUCAAAAAUAUAUUUUCACAGAGGCUUCGUGAUCGACGAGAAGAAGUAAAGGGAAUCAGGCCUAUCAUGAUCAAAUAUUGAGUUCAACUUAACGGGUUUAUUCAAUGUUUUUCAGAAAGUACAAUACGGAGUUAAGUCUCGAGUUUAUCGCUAUUUUAAAACAUUUGUAAAUUUAAUUUCUGGAGUUAUUCUGAGGGCAAGAUCUGAUUAAACGUUUCAAUUUUCCCGCCAAAAAACUUAGAAAAAAUACGGGCGCGCUUAAAAUGCGCAUGCGCCAUUUUUUUUCCUUAAUUCAUACUCUCUGUAAGUAACAUCUGUUUAAAUGCAUUGAAUUUUCUCGCCGAAAAACUUAGAAAAAUACGGGCGCUCAAAUUACGCAUGCGCCAAUUUUUUUAUUGUCUCUUUUUAAUAUCAUUGUAUUUCUAAGAGGUUAUACA